UUACAAUUCAUAUUGUUUUGAUUAGCUGUCACUAUUUUUCCCCAGCAAUAUUUGCAUUUCGACUUCUUCAUCUUGCUUGGAGUAUCCAAGAAUAACAGUGUAUUCCACUGCUUCUGAUAUGGGAUCGAUGGAGGAACAAUUACAAUGAUUCAUUGUAUUGUCAGUUCUUCAUCCAACAGCUUCUUCGAAAUAAAUAGUGUGUAUUCUUGAGGAGACAGGCCCACAAGAAUGCAGCCUUCCUAAUCUAAGGGUGACUAAGUCUGGAUCAAAGGAGAAGGGGGCAGACUAACAUCAGAAGAGAAUGGCAAACUGCUCCUUCUCCACAGAUGAAAGAGAAAAACAAGUCUGAAUCCAAGGUAUAGUGCCAUUAUAGACAUCAAAAAGCACAAUAUUCAGCUGUUUCUCUACUGUGAGA
rnacentral:lncRNA from 1 species